rnacentral:rRNA from 1 species
UGCAGUCGAACGGAGUAACAUGAGUAGUAAUACAAGUGUUGCUCAGCGUCGCACGGGUGCGUAACACGUGAGUUACAUGCCCUGCAGAGAGGGAUAGCCCAGGGAAACUUGGAUUAAUACCUCAUGGUCUCGCAAGAGUAAAGAUGGCCGUAAGGCUGUCGCUGCAGGAUUGGCUCGCGGCCUAUCAGCUAGUUGGUGAGGUAACGGCUCACCAAGGCUACGACGGGUACCUGGUCUGAGAGGACGAUCAGGCACACUGGAACUGAGACACGGUCCAGACACCUACGGGUGGCAGCAGUCGAGAAUCAUUCACAAUGGGGGCAACCCUGAUGGUGCAACGCCGCGUGGAGGAAGAAGGUCUUCGGAUUGUAAACUCCUGUCAUCUAGGAGCAAGGCAUGGUGGUGAAUAGCCAACAUGAUUGAUAGUACUAGAAGAGGAAGGGACGGCUAACUUCGUGCCAGCAGCCGCGGUAAUACGAAGGUCCCGAGCGUUAUUCGGAAUCACUGGGCGUAAAGGGAGCGUAGGCGGCGUGGAAAGUCAGAUGUGAAAUCCCAGAGCUUAACUCUGGAACUGCAUCCGAUACUACCAUGCUAGAGUAUUGGAGGGGUAACUGGAAUUCUCGGUGUAGCAGUGAAAUGCGUAGAUAUCGAGAGGAACACUCGUGGCGAAAGCGAGUUACUGGACAAUUACUGACGCUGAGGCUCGAAGGCUAGGGGAGCAAAAGGGAUUAGAUACCCCUGUAGUCCUAGCAGUAAACGGUGCACGCUUGGUUUGAGGGGAAUCGACCCCCUUCGAGCCGGAGCUAACGCGUUAAGCGUGCCGCCUGGGAAGUACGGUCGCAAGACUAAAACUCAAAGAAAUUGACGGGGACCCGCACAAGCGGUGGAGUAUGUGGCUUAAUUUCGAUGCACGCGAAGAAUCUUACCUAGGCUUGACAUGCAUUUCUAAAUACGUGAAAGCGUAUG